UUUUUUUCACUUUUCAGGAAUCAAGUUCCUCCUUGUAAUAUGAUCUAUAAUAAAUAGAGUUUUCUUGAGAAAACAUUUCUGAUAAUGUAGGUUCAUAGGCCUUAUUUGUAUAUCCUAUAACACAUUGAGCAGAGGGUUAAAUUAGAAGCAGUCAUCUAGUCAUUUGCCAGUUGUGUGCUUUUUUUCAGUUAAGCAAACCUUUUUUUGGUAAUGGAGACUAUUUAUCAACAAUCAAAUAUUCCAGGUAUUGAUUGAGCUGACUUGCAGAAAGAUUACUUGCACCUGAUAGAGGUGUUCUAUGUUGAUAUGUCAGAUAUCAUUCUAAAGAUACUUUGAUGUUUGGCUAUUAGUGAGGCCACACAUUUUAUUUUUUUUAUGCCCUCUUCUUUUUUCUUCCAAAAUACCUUUCACAUGUUUUUUAAUCUGUUCUCAUACAGGCUUUUAUAUUUGCAUAUCUAAAUUCUGUUUGUGGAAAAGGCACAUAUGAAUACCUCUGUUUCUAUAAAUAUAUAGGUGUACCUAUAUGACUUGUACAAACACCUGCAGGUAGAAAUUUGGUUACCAGUUUCAAGAAGUCUGCUGUGCAUUUAGCCAAGAAGUAGUUCAUUUCUCCGGAGUACCUCUACUUUUCAUAAAUAAUUGUUAAUUUUCUGGAAAAUUCAGGGACAUUCUCUUAGAGACCCCUCCUGAUAGUUUUAAAAGAGAUGCUUUGACAUACUUGACCUUUAGCCUUCUCUUUACUUUUCAUUUUACAUUUUCCUUGUUUUGUUUUACUGCCUUCUGUUGUUUGUGGUUAAGAUUCCAUUUCGAAUUUGUGAAGAGUCUUCUUGGAGGUCUUCUUGGAAAUUGUUUAGCAUUUGUUUUUCUGUGUUAGUUCUUGACAUGUUUUCUUCCAAAUUGUAAUUGAAUUCAGUCGUAUUUUGGUGGCUUUUCUGCAAUGUUCUGUACAGCUAUGGCUACUAUUCUUCAGGCUGUUUUCAAUUUACCAGAAACACUCAAGUACUUUGAGAUAUAAAACUGUUUCUGAAGCUACUGACCAUGUCUUGUAUUUUUCUUUUCCAUUUGGUGACUGUCUAACUCCUUUUCUGUUAAGGGCAGAAUACCCCCAAAUAUCCUUAUAGUUUGCUGUUGUCCUGCAGCUCUUUCAUGUCCUAGAAGUUUGUGGCAAAGUCACAGGAUGAUGUCAGAUGCUUUCAUUCCAUUGUUAACUAUUUUUGUUACUGUGCUUGCUGGGUGAAAUUAUUUCUAUAAAUAGAUGCUGUGGCCACAUUACUACUAUAGCAUAAUUUAAAUGUGGUAGACUUACAGUAGUAAUUUCUUAAUAAUGUCUGUGAAUCAGUGGUGGCCUGCAGUAGCUGGCUGCUCUAAAGCUAGAUCAUCUUGUUUGCAACUGCUACUUUAAAUUACAGACAGCUAAAGUGUAGGUCCUUGUAGUGUUGCGAGAAUUAACUUAGGGUCAUUGAGAAAAAGGUGGUUUUCAUUCAUAAAUGGGAGGGAAGAUGCUCUCCAGAGUUAGGAAUGUGAAAGAACUGGGGUAAUAUGUGCACUGAAUCCCCCAAGUUCUCUUCUUUAAAACCAAAUAACAGAGGUCUAAUGUUUUCAUAUUAGCAGGAACAUAGUGAGGUAAUUUUCUUUUACCACUUUUAUUUGAAGACCUUUAAAUGUUCUAGUGUGCAUGUAGAGAAAUUACCUCUGUCCCAUCCACCCUGAAAAUCCUCAUUCAGAAUCACUGUGUUUAAUGCAGUUAUGUGGUGUAAUAUCACAUACAUUGCUGUUUGGAUUUGGUUAGCUAGUGCAGGAAGGGCUGUAAUGAUAAAGUUUGUAAAACAUUUCAAGAAUCCCUGCACAUAAAGCUGUGCUUGAAAUUCGCAGCAGUGGAAGUCAGUACUUCCUGCACUGGGCCCAGAAACUGGAACCUCUAUGACAAAAGCAGGGUUUAAAUAACUGCAAAACUUGUAAUUAAGUUACUGUAAAAGCUAUAAAAUUCAAAGCAGAUUUUAUUGCACUGAGUUAAAAAAAUCAAUGUAAUAUUUGUGGUGAAUGUUGAAUAUUUCUGUAGCCAUGAGUUUGUGUGGGGAGAUCAAACUAGUACAGCUGUCUUCAGUCUCCUGUUAGUCUACAGAAAGAAAAUUUGCAUCAAGACGAAAGAUAGUGUAGGAGUUGAUGGGGGUUUGGCUGGCCUAUUUUACCAUUUAUUCCAGACGCUGGAGUUGUUGUCCCAGACAAAUUCCUUUCCCUGUCUAUUUGACUUCUGGUUCUUUAACAUCUUAAGAAUUAAAAAAAAAAAAAAAAAAAA
rnacentral:lncRNA from 1 species